AAUUAUUUUACACUAGUUGGCAGAGUAUAUGUCGCAAUUAAAAAUAUAUUUCAUCGGCGGAGGUAAUCUGACAUCCGCUAUUAUCAAAGGUUUAAAUCUCAGUAAUUGGCAUAUUACCAUUUCAGAAGUUUAUGAGCCUCAAAGACGCAAGCUCGAAAAGUUCAAUGUGAAUAUUACAAGUGAAACUGCAGAUCCUAGCAUUAAUGAAGCCGACAUAAUUUUUUUAUGUAUAAAACCACAAUCCAUUGAAGACGCUAUAUCAAAAUUAAGUAAAACAGAUCUGUCUAAUAAGACAAUUAUAUCCGCUAUGGCAGGAAUACCACUUAGUUUUUUAAAACCUAAAUUCCUUGGCCAGAACAUCAAAUAUGCCCGUAUAAUGCCCAAUUUGGCCAUCUCUGUCUCAGCUGGUGUAAUAGGAGUAUACACUGAAAAUUCUGAUUUAAUAACUAUUAUUGAUAAGAUUUUCAGUAGCUCAAGCAAAAUAUAUUAUUUUAAUAAUGAAUCAGAUCUUCACAAAGUUACUGCUGUAAGCGGCUCUGGAAUUGCUUAUUGUUACAGAUUCAUGGAAUCGAUGGUUAAAGCAGCUCAGGAGAUCGGGCUAGAGUCUGAAGCUAAAAUGAUGGUACUUUACACAAUUUUAGGUAGUGCAAAAAUGGCUAUUGAAAGUGACAUGGACAUUCGGGAUUUAAGAAACGCGGUUACUAGCAAAGGUGGAACUACAGAACAAGCAUUAAUCUCACUUGAAAAUGACAAUAUCGACAAAAUUAUUUUGAAUGCCUGUCAAAAAGCACUAAAAAAAUCUAAAGAACUUGAAAAUGCUGUGCAGAUAUCUUAAAUGUAUAGUUAAAAGAAUAAAUUAUAGAAACCCUCCAUCACAUUCCAUAAUAAGCAUGACCAUAUGGCGGAAUAUAAAAA